rnacentral:misc_RNA from 1 species
GGAAGGAUCAUUAACACUAACUCAAAUAAUACUUAAACGCGUUAAAUCUUAACGACGAAGCGGUUUCGCCCAGUCGUAGCAAGCGUCUUGUCGGCCGGCGCGGUUUCGCGGAACUGGCAUAAAUAUGACAGCGCUCCUGCUGGAUUAACGCUUGAACGUUGAACGAUUUAACGGAGGGUAUCAUAGAUUUGAGGGGCUGGAUGAGAGAAUCGGAGUUCGUUUGGAGUGAGAGAAAGUGAAAGGUAUUGAACGUUGAACGUUGUUGGGCGGGAGCGUGUUGCCCUAAUGGGGUGCGUCUAUCGGCCCUCGCCGAGCCCGCUCGACUGAACCUAAACCUUCAGGCUCUCCGAAAACCAAACUUACCCUUUCCCCCUUCCCUUGUUAUCCCCCAUUUUUGAUAUUCCCCGGUGUUGCCUGUUGCCCCACGAAUGUAACUCAUCGAGCGUGUUUACGCUUAUUCUCUGGUUUUGUCUCAACUAUUUAAUUUUAGUUGAGUAAAAGAUGUCCCUUUCCGGAUGUCUUUUAACUAGAAAAAACUCUGUACAACUCUUAGCAAUGGAUGUCUUGGUUUCCGCCUCGAUGAAGAACGCGGCAAGAUGCGCUACGUGAUGCGAAUUGCAGAAUUCAGUGAAUCAUCAACUCUUCGAACGCAACUGGCACAGAGGCUGGUUUCGACCGGUUUUCUGGGCUCAGCUUGUCAGAGGCAAACAUAUAUCUCUUCAAUGCAGUGCCCAGCGGACUAGCAAUGGUUCGUUGUGGUCUUGUGCCUUUCGUUACUGCCUCCCUGAGGCUUUGUGACGGUGUUUGAGCGUCAUUUUUGUGUGAAAUGUCGCUUGAAAGAUACUCGAGAGAGUAUUUGAACGUAUCUGGGAAAACAACCAGAGUAAAUGACAUAAAUUGUGUCGACUCUGAACCGAUACCUUCUGUCUAGAGGGGGUGGACUUUGUUCACACAGGUCUGCUUCUUUCUGGGCUCUGCAAUAGCGGAGAUAGGAAAAGGCAAUUGGGAAUAACUCAAUUGUAAAAGGCAAUUGGGAAACUCAAUUGUAAUUACUUUCACAACUGCUGUUGACGGCCUGGGUAGAGAAAGACACAAAGGGUAUUUGAGGCAGUCGAUGCGGGUGUGUUGAGUCGUUUGAAGUUGUUUUCUGCUCUUUUUUGUUACGCCCUGACAUCUGUGGACUACCCGCUGAAUUUAAGCAUAUUAUUAAGCGGAGGGAAAGAAACUAACAAGGAUUCCCCUAGUAACGGCGAGUGAAGCGGGAAAAGCUCAAGUUUAGAAUCGGUGCUCGUAAGAGUGCUGAGUUGUAAUCUAAAGACGUUGUGUCAGUGGUGACCCGGGUAUAACUCCCUUGGAAAAGGGGAUCAUAGAGGGUGAUAAUCCCGUCUUUGACUCGGAGUUCGCCGCGUACGAUGCAUAGUCAUAGAGUCGGGUUGUUUGGGAUUGCAGCCCUAAAUGGGUGGUAAACUUCAUCUAAAGCUAAAUAUUGGCGGAAGACCGAUAGCGAACAAGUAGCGUGAGCGAAAGAUGAAAGAACUUUGAAAAGAGAGUUAAAAAGUACCUGAAAUUGCUAAGAGGUAAACGAUGGAAACUAGUAAUUCCUGAGGCUAUAUUUAGUCGGUGUCGUGCGACGGAUGCGUGCUCUGAGUGUAAAAGCCAGUGCUGUGUGUUCUCAAAGUACGAUGGCGAUGUCCUGUAGUCUUGGGCAAGUCAAGAUCAGUUGGAUCUGUCGAGAAAGCUCAUGGAAAGGUUCUAGAUGAUUGGGGAUGCUCAUUCGUUUAGAUUAUAGUCCGUGAGCCAUACGAUGGAUUAGACUGAGGAAAAGACAAGCACCCUUCAUUGGGAUUGGUGCCUCGGUCUGCUGCGUCAGCGGGUGUGAACAGCAAAGCUGUGCUACUUGCGAAGCGUGGUACUGCCUGGGGAUCCAUCAUUCGUGUCUUAGCGACGCUUGACGAAAUGGUUUUCAUUGACCCGUCUUGAAACACGGACCAAGGAGUCUAACAUCUAUGCGAGUAUUUGGUGAUUAAACCCUGAUGCGUAAUGAAAGUAAAGGAGGCGUAUGCCUCUGAGGUAGGAACCGUUCGAAUAGGAUGGGGCACUAUCGACCGAUCGACCACUUGUGGUAGAUUCGAGUUUGAGCAUAUCUGUUAGGACCCGAAAGAUGGUGAUCUAUGCCUGGCUAGAAUGAAGCCAGUGGAAACACUGGUGGAAGUUCGUAGCGAUACUGACGUGCAAAUCGUUCGUCGAAUCUGGGUAUAGGGGCGAAAGACUAAUCGAACCAUCUAGUAGCUGGUUCCCUC